rnacentral:rRNA from 1 species
UACGUAGUGGGCAAGCGUUGUCCGGAUUUAUUGGGCGUAAAGAGCGUGUAGGCGGCCUGACAGGUCUGCUGUGAAAACUCGAGGCUCAACCUCGAGAUGUCGGCGGAAACCGUCUGGCUAGAGUCCGGAAGAGGAGAGUGGAAUUCCUGGUGUAGCGGUGAAAUGCGCAGAUAUCAGGAGGAACACCGGUGGCGAAGGCGGGUCUCUGGGCCGUAACUGACGCUGAGGAGCGAAAGCAUGGGGAGCGAACAGG